AGUCCUCCAGCCCCAUAGGGGGCGCUGUGGGGCUCAAUAGAACUCUAUGGGGCUCUAUGGGUCUCUAUGGGUCUCUAUGGGUCUCUAUUGGUCUCUGUGGGUCCCUAUGGGUCCCUAUGGGUCCCUAUGGGUCCCUAUGGGUCUCUAUGAGUCCCUAUGGGGUCCCUAUGGGUCCUUAUGUCCCCCUAUGGGUCUCUAUGGGGCCCUGUGGGGUCCCUAUGGGUCCCUAUGGGUCUCUAUGUGUCCCUAUGGGUCUCUAUGGGGCUCUAUGGGUCCCUAUGGGUCCCUAUUGGUCUCUAUGGGUCCCUAUGGGUGAUAUGGGGUGUCUAUGGGGCUCUAUGGGGCUCAGUCCUCCAGCCCCAUAGGGGGCGCUGUGGGGCUCAGUCCUCCAGCCCCAUAGGGGGCGCUGUGGGGCUCUAUGGGGCUCAGUCCUCCAGCCCCAUAGGGGGCGCUGUGUUGCUCACUGUUGCCUUCUCUCGCCCGCAGGUUUCCGUCGCCGUCGCUGAUUGGGUCGUUAAUUAA
rnacentral:lncRNA from 1 species